rnacentral:rRNA from 1 species
AACGUAGGUACCGAGCGUUAUCCGGAUUUACUGGGCGUAAAGCGCGUUCAGGCGGUUUGGCAAGUCGGGCAUGAAAUCUCUCGGCUCAACCGGGAGAGGUUGUCCGAUACUGUUGGACUUGAGGGCAGUAGAGGGUGGUGGAAUUCCGGGUGUAGUGGUGAAAUGCGUAGAUAUCCGGAGGAACACCAGUGGCGAAAGCGGCCACCUGGACUGUACCUGACGCUCAAACGCGAAAGCUAGGGGAGCGAACGGG